rnacentral:piRNA from 1 species
UGAGAUAAAACACCAUGACAAGGAAAUGCUU